CCCCAGACUCCUACGGGAGGCAGCAGUGAGGAAUAUUGGUCAAUGGUCGGGAGACUGAACCAGCCAAGCCGCGUGAGGGAGGAAGGUACAGAGUAUCGUAAACCUCUUUUGUCAGGGAACAAAGGCGGGGACGCGUCCCCGGAUGAGUGUACCUGAAGAAAAAGCAUCGGCUAACUCCGUGCCAGCAGCCGCGGUAAUACGUAGGGGGCGAGCGUUAUCCGGAUUCACUGGGUGUAAAGGGAGCGUAGACGGCCAUGCAAGCCAGGGGUGAAAGCCCGGGGCCCAACCCCGGGACUGCCCUUGGAACUGCAUGGCUGGAGUGCGGGAGGGGCAGGCGGAAUUCCUGGUGUAGCGGUGAAAUGCGUAGAUAUCAGGAGGAACACCGGCGGCGAAGGCGGCCUGCUGGACCGCGACUGACGUUGAGGCUCGAAAGCGUGGGGAGCGAACAGGAUUAGAUACCCUUGUA
rnacentral:rRNA from 1 species